rnacentral:pre_miRNA from 1 species
AGCUUUUUGAAUCCAUGUUGAGAUUUCGUCAGACGCCAACCCAUUAGGAUUGAUCAGACUUACAAGAUAAGUAAAGUU